rnacentral:rRNA from 1 species
GCUUAGAGAGGGGUCAAUGUCCUAUCAGCUAGUUGGUAGGGUAAUGGCCUACCAAGGCUAAGACGGGUAGCCGGCCUGAGAGGGUGGUCGGCCACACUGGGACUGAGACACUGCCCAGACUCCUACGGGAGGCUGCAGUGGAGAAUCUUUCGCAAUGCCCGAAAGGGUGACGAAGCGACGCCGCGUGUGGGAAGAAGGCCUUCGGGUUGUAAACCACUGUCGGGAGUUAAGAAAUGUAAGGGUAUUAAUAGUAUCCUUACUUGACUAAGGCUCCGGAGGAAGCCACGGCUAACUCUGUGCCAGCAGCCGCGGUAAUACAGAGGCGGCAAGCGUUGUUCGGAAUUAUUGGGCGUAAAGAGCACGUAGGCGGCUUUGUAAGUCAGUUGUGAAAGCCUUCUGCUCAACGGAAGAACAGCAUCUGUUACUGCAAGGCUAGAGUGCGGAAGGG